ACCGGCAUAGCUCAGUGGUAGAGCAUCAGGCUUUUAACCUGAGGGUCGCGGGUUCGACCCCCGCUGUCGGUA
rnacentral:tRNA from 1 species